CUGUAUUUACUCAUCUUUCCCUAAUAAUAAAGUACGGAUCGACUCCAUGGGUUCACCGUCACAAUACGCUUCUUCCCGUGAAUUUACGCUUUCAGUUUGAAUUUAAAACAUAUACGCGAGGUGGUACUAAAAAACCGUUUCGUUCGCUGGUGACAAUUGUUUCUGAGCGUUUUUGUAAAAAACCCUUGUACUGUUUGCUAUUCAACCCGCAGUGCUGUUUUAAGCGGUCAACGGAGAAAAUGUUUCAUUGUAAAGAAAAACACUAGCAGACACGAAGACGGACAUCUCCUCCCGGAUGCGUACGGGCAUGGCGCCGCCGCCUCCACGCGCGAGCCAGCGGAUCAGGGAGGGGGUGCUCCCCGGGUGGACAGCUGCCUCGCCUUCACCCCCUCCUUUCCCCCAUGCAGGAACGAGCUAGGGUUGGAGCCGCCGCCUCUCCGGCCUGCCCACCGGUGCUCCAUCCGCCCCUCUUCUCCAUCAUCUACCCCCACCACUACUCCUCCCAGGCCCAACCAUGGUGGAUGACAUGCUCCCGGCGCUCCAUCCUCCCCUUCUCCAUACUCCCUCCCUAUUCCGUCCCCCACCCCUACUCCCCACAGGUCCAUGGGGAGUGAGCGUGCGCGGGCGGCAUUGGUGGACGAGUUGGGGUUGCGUGAUGGACCUGAAGUACUGCCUCCCGGCACCUCCAUCGUCGUCACGGCUACCAACUUCUUUGCCCCCCUGCCCCAAGUACUACUUUUCAGCAGAUGCGGCCGAGGUAAUUGGUCAAGGCGAGAAUGAUAUGCCACUGUUGAUGCUGGAGGUUGUGGCAAUUUUCUAUGAUAGCUCAAAUUGGUUGAUGAUGCAGCGCAAGUAGCACAAGUCAUCAUGUCCACUGCCUAGCAUUGAAUACCAGGUUCAGUCUUCAUGAUUUCUUACUUGAUCCAUGAUUUCUUACUUGAUCUAUAACUCAUUACUUUUAAAAUCUGGGUAUCAUAGAGUUGGUGUAUAUCAAUCAUGUAAGGGGGCAAGGAACCAAACUGUGUAAGACGGACUUGUACUAACCUGUACUCAUAUUAGUCCAACGCUUGUUGAAUAUUGCUUGGAGAUUUGCGCUUUCAAAGAAAUGAAAAUCAGUCUGUCUAA